rnacentral:lncRNA from 1 species
CACAGAUCUGAUUGAUAUCAAAAUACUUAGACACUGUCUCUCUGGGCUACACGCUCCUCAAGAGAUCAUUUUCUUCAGUUUUUCAAUGGAAAAAAAAUACAUUCAAAAGACGUCUUCACCAUACAAGGAAUUCUUUGUUCAGACUGGCUACUGACAUUCCAAACAAACCUACACUCAAGAUAAAGUUAUCCUCUCGGAACACUCAGACAUUUUUUUUUUUCUUCCCUAUCAUCAACUUGCCAACAUUAAAGGCAGUUCUCACUUUUAGACACAACGUGUUUGAUGCAAAUGCAACUUAAAGAAGAUUACUGUAAGGUCUCGCCUGGCUGGUCUUGUAUUACAUCCUGAUUAUGCAUGUGCUGUCACAUGAGAGUGGAAGCCACCAAAUAAGUAGCUAUGGUCGGUGAAAAGUGAAAUACGAGUCUUUAUUAUUAAGUGUCCAGUAAGAGGUGUGGUGAAAAGCAGGACUCCCAAAUUGAACUGGUGAAAAAUAUGAACUAUCUGCACCUUACAAGAAAAUAAGCAAAAACCUUUCUUCUGGACAUCUUAAGUAGUCUUUUUUUUUUUUUUUUUUUUUUUUAGAGUUGAUAAUUAAACUGUGAAAGAGAGAGCAUCGAUACACUGUCUUCAAUUCUUAAGCAGGCCCACUUCUCCACUUUCUAAGUUUCUCACUCUCAUUAGCAAUAUAUAUUGCAUUUAG